rnacentral:rRNA from 1 species
CGGUGGAGCGCGUGGUUUAAUUGGAUGUUACGCCAAGAACCUUACCAGGCCUUGACAUGUUUUUCUUAAUGCUCUUUCAGAAACGUUAGAGAAUCUGUUUAAUCAGAGGGAAUUCACAGGUGUUGCACGGCUGUCGUCAGCUCGUCUCGUGAGAGGUAGGGUUANNNNNNNNNNNNNNNNNNNNNNNNACCGUGUGUUGUAUCACUCACGCGGAACUGCCCUCGUAAGGGGGAGGAAGGUGCGGACGACGUCAAGUCAGCGUUGCCCUUAUGGCCUGGGCGACACACACGCUACAAUGGCGCAGAUAGCAGGUUGCCACCUCGUAAGAGGGAGCUAAUCCCUAAACUGCGUCCCAGUUCGGAUUGAGGUCUGUAACUCGACCUCAUGAAGUUGGAAUCGCUAGUAACCGCGUAUCAGCCAUGGCGCGGUGAAUACGUUCUCGAGCCUUGCACACACCGCCCGUCACAUAAGCCGAGUUGGGAAUAGCCGAAGACUGCAUUUAUUGUGGUUUAAGCUAGGCUCAGCGAGGAGUGUGAAGUCGUAACAAGGUGUCCGUAGGGGAAUCUGCGGACGGAUCACCUCCUUUCU